rnacentral:rRNA from 1 species
ACGCUGGCGGCGUGCCUAAUACAUGCAAGUAGAACGCUGAAGGAGGAGCUUGCUUCUCUGGAUGAGUUGCGAACGGGUGAGUAACGCGUAGGUAACCUGCCUGGUAGCGGGGGAUAACUAUUGGAAACGAUAGCUAAUACCGCAUAACAGUAGAUGUUGCAUGACAUUUGCUUAAAAGGUGCAAUUGCAUCACUACCAGAUGGACCUGCGUUGUAUUAGCUAGUUGGUGGGGUAACGGCUCACCAAGGCGACGAUACAUAGCCGACCUGAGAGGGUGAUCGGCCACACUGGGACUGAGACACGGCCCAGACUCCUACGGGAGGCAGCAGUAGGGAAUCUUCGGCAAUGGACGGAAGUCUGACCGAGCAACGCCGCGUGAGUGAAGAAGGUUUUCGGAUCGUAAAGCUCUGUUGUAAGAGAAGAACAGGUGCGAGAGUGGAAAGUUCACACUGUGACGGUAUCUCACCAGAAAGGGACGGCUAACUACGUGCCAGCAGCCGCGGUAAUACGUAGGUCCCGAGCGUUGUCCGGAUUUAUUGGGCGUAAAGCGAGCGCAGGCGGUUAGAUAAGUCUGAAGUUAAAGGCUGUGGCUUAACCAUAGUACGCUUUGGAAACUGUUUAACUUGAGUGCAAGAGGGGAGAGUGGAAUUCCAUGUGUAGCGGUGAAAUGCGUAGAUAUAUGGAGGAACACCGGUGGCGAAAGCGGCUCUCUGGCUUGUAACUGACGCUGAGGCUCGAAAGCGUGGGGAGCAAACAGGAUUAGAUACCCCUGGUAGUCCACGCCGUAAACGAUGAGUGCUAGGUGUUAGACCCUUUCCGGGGUUUAGUGCCGCAGCUAACGCAUUAAGCACUCCGCCUGGGGAGUACGACCGCAAGGUUGAAACUCAAAGGAAUUGAC